rnacentral:rRNA from 1 species
AGUAAUGUAUGGGGAUCUGCCUGAUGGCGGGGGAUAACUACUGGAAACGGUAGCUAAUACCGCAUAAUGUCUGCGGACCAAAGCGGGGGACCUCCGGGCCUCGCGCCAUCAGAUGAACCCAUAUGGGAUUAGCUAGUAGGUAAGGUGACGGCUUACCUAGGCGACGAUCCCUAGCUGGUCUGAGAGGAUGAUCAGCCACACUGGGACUGAGACACGGCCCAG